ACGAACGCUGGCGGCACGCUUAACACAUGCAAGUCGAACGAGGUCCAUCCACUCGCAAGAGUGGUGAAGACCUAGUGGCGAACGGGUGAGUAACACGUGAGAAACCUGCCCCGAAGACCGGGAUAACUCACCGAAAGGUGAGCUAAUACCGGAUGCCUUCACGACGUCUCAUGGCGAUGUGAAGAAAUGGAUUCCGCUUCGGGAGGGUCUCGCGGCCUAUCAGCUUGUUGGUGAGGUAACGGCUCACCAAGGCGACGACGGGUAGCUGUUCUGAGAGGAAGAUCAGCCACACUGGGACUGAGACACGGCCCAGACUCCUACGGGAGGCAGCAGUGGGGAAUCUUGCGCAAUGGGCGAAAGCCUGACGCAGCGAUGCCGCGUGCGGGAAGACGGCCUUCGGGUUGUAAACCGCUUUCAGCAGGGACGAAAUUGACGGUACCUGCAGAAGAAGCUCCGGCCAACUACGU
rnacentral:rRNA from 1 species